UUUAUAUACUGUUACAUAUAUAUAUAUCUAUAAGUCACAUCUGAAUUGUAACCCCCUUUUUGCAAUACAGAUGACUUUGAAAUAAAAAAUUAAAAAAAGAGACAUUUCUUACUGCUUCAAUGUGCUCCAGUGAGGACAUCAGGGGUGCAAAAAAGGCAGGCCUGAGCUCUGUCCCUCUGAGUUGGUGGAUGUGGAGGAAAAUGAUGAUGUCAAGAAGGACCACAUCAUCAGAGACAUUGAUGCAGCACCAGGACCCUUCCUGGAUAUCAGGACUGAUACAAAAGCAGACCUUAAAUCUGUCCAUUCGGAACUUCUGGACGUGGAGAAUGAGGAGAUCCUACCAGAAGAUCAACAAGAUCAAAAAUCCACCAGCAGCUCGUCCCCACCACACCUUCACAGAAAGAGGUUUUCAGUGGCAGAGAAAGACCUGAGCUCUGUUCCUCUGGAGUUUAUAGAUAUGGACACAAACAAAAUCUGCACCUUAAUCAUGUGUUUUUUCGACAGCCUUACCAAAGAGCAGCGGACAGAACUACGCAAAUGUCAUUACAGCAUGAACAUGAAAAACAAGAUUGCUGACGUGACUGCAGAGGUGUUUAUGCACAUCACAAAGGCAGUCAGUCACAACAUUGACAAGUGUUCAAUCGGUGGUGAAUUGGUGGACACAGCCGGAGGAUUAACACCAAAACUCAUGGAGACAAUUGAAAAAAUUGUAAACUCUGUUCUGUCAGAGAUACAACAGGCACACCCUGUUGUCACUAAGAAGAGGUGGUUUAGCAAAUUGCGGAAAAAUAAGGUUAAUGCCAUUUCAGACAUAUCUGAUAACACUAGCGCUGCUUCUCUGAAAUUUGUUGAUCAGAACGCCACACCAAAAAAUCAACGAGUGUGGACGAGAAUGACUCUGUUGAAGAGAAUCCGUCAGUUCUGCUGCAGUUUGAGCUGCUGUUCGAGCUGCUGUUCACGGAGUGAUGUAAAUUCUCUCAACCCCCUUCCUCCAAGCUAAGCUUCUGAAGUCCCAGCAAGAACAGUUGCAGCAGACCUGAGCUCUGUCCCUGGAGGAUGUGGAGGAAAAUGACGAUGAUGUCAGGAAGGACCACAACGUCAGAGACAUUGAUGCAGCAUCAGGGAAACCCAAUAGUAGCUCAUCCCCAACACCACACCAUAACAGAGAGCGGUUUUCAAUUGCAGAUGAAGACCUGAGUUCUGUCCCCCUGGCGUUGGUGGAAGUAGAGAAUAAUAAAUCUCUGUCUCUCUCUCAACAGGUCGCUGUCCCUUUCUCCACUACAUGCCCAGCAAACCGGCCAAGUACGGGAUCAAGUCGUGGGUGGCAUGCUCAGAAUCAGAAUGCCACACCAAAAAAUCAAGCUAUGUGAACACAGAAUGACUCUGUUGAACAGAAUCUGUCAAGGAUGGGUGACUCCAGAAAUGAUUAAAAUUGUCAAUAAAAAACAUAAAUGUGCUCCAGUGAGGACAUCAGGGGUUCAACAAAAGCAGACCUGAGCUCUGUCCCACUGAGUUGGUGGAUGUGGAGGAUAAUGAUGUAAUGGAGGACAACCUCACAUGCAGUCUGGAGCCAUGUAUGGAGGAACAGCACCACUGAACCGGAGUGAAAUUCGGCUUUGAGCGCCGGAUCAUGCGAAGUAGACUGCCAAAAGAAUGAGCCAUGUAUAUGUGCCACUGACAGCUCAGUGUGGGGUGGUGGAGAUCUGCCAGACCCAUACACAAGAGUAGUAAACAUGCAUGUGUAACAUUUGUGUUUUUCUCUAUAACCUUUGUUUUACUGUUUUUCAACUACGCAAAUGUGAUGACAGUGUGAAUGUCAAAGACAAGAUCACAUCACUGCACAUAACCCUAUGAGUUGAUCCGCAUGUACACAUUUAUCCUCCAGCAUGUCGGGGUGAUUUAAAUAAUAAGUAAACAUGCUGUUGUGCCUUUAUCCUACCCUUACCCAUAAUAAGUAUUACAUUUUUGUUGUUAUUUUAUAUUAACACCCAAUUUGAAACAGCGACAGAAACAGCCAUAUUUAUCAUGUCGUGAACUGGCUCAAAGUCAAGACAAGAAAGACCACACAGAUAAUAAAGGUUUUAAAGCAAAACAAAUGUUUGUACACACAUAUUUGGGUAUUUGCGUGGCCUACCAACCCAGACUGGGGAAUAAAUCAACUUAGUCCUUUUUUUAGUGGGCUGGCAAUGUCAGAAGCUCAAACGCUCUGUUCAGAUUUUGGGGAGUCAUUUGGAUAGCACAACGUCCCCUCUGACUAACCACCUCCCACGGACAAGAGUUCCCUUUGCUGCUGUCUGCCAUGUUUGCCCUGCAAGCCCUGGCUGUAGGAAUUAAUUUAAUGUUGUAAAAUUGAGCGACAGUCAUAAAAUGUGUGACCGUGAAGCCUCGUCAGAAGCCGACAAAACACUGUAUAAGUUAGAAGGUUGGAUGUCGGUGAUUAUUUUUUUCAUGAUGCUUCUUGUGUAACUUUCUACAGACGUGCUAACGUUACUUCAGCUAGUGCUUAGCUUUGUUAUUCCGAAGCAGUUUUCCUGCUCCACUCAGUUGUUUGUGUGUGUGUGUGUGUGCUGCUGUUUGUAAAUUCACCGGAGCUAGUGUGAGAGAACUGU
rnacentral:lncRNA from 15 species